UCCCAUAACAUUAAGGAUUAUAUAAACUGGAUUGAACAACUGACCCAUUGCAGCCCCGUUGACGAGAAUUGAACUUAUAAGGAUGAACCUAUCAAUACCAAGUUUUUGACAUGCAUCCACAAGGUUCACUGUGCCAAAAUUAUCAACCUGAAAAGAGUAAAACAAUGAUAGGAUACAUUAGCUGACUUUCACCACAUUUAAAAUCAAAGAAAAACACGACUACUACAACUGAGAUGAAAAGUUAUAGGACAUCUGCAUGUGAACAUAGAUAACGCUAAUGGAGGAUAUCUAACGCUUUGCUAAUUCAGUGACAUAAGAUAUGAAAAUGAAAACAAUAACACCCACUCUCAAUCCCAAGAAAGUUGGGGGAGAUUAGGCACCAUAACAUCUUCUAGUCUCAACUCAGCUUCACUCUUAUGCAUAAUACAUGAAAAUGAGUACCACCAAUUCUGACAACAAAGAUCCAAAAAGAAGAAAGAUGAGUGGGGCCGAAUUAUUGGAGUACCUAGGUAAUUGGGAACAGAAGUUGAGGUGUCAGCGAAUGAGAAUUGAAAGCUGAAAUGCGGCGAGUCGUUAUCUUUUGGAGCAUUACACGGAAUAGAAUUGCCAAACACUGUAUUUGUUUCUUCAAAUAAAGCUUCUAAAUCUUGUUGGGGGGGGGGGGGUCUUUUGGAGCAUUUCUUUGGAUCCAAAUGUCAAGUACUGUAUAUGUUUCUUCAUUUAACGUGCUAGAUCCCAAGUGAAAGAUAAAGAGUAUAGAGCUUAAGAGCUGAUACAGUAAUCUUCGCUUCAACUUAACUCCAGAAUGAAGCUCUAGAUUGAAAGUUCCAAAGGUUGGUUUGUCAACUCCACUAACUUUUAGCUAUUUGAGACAUACAAUACGCUUUUACAAAACCUCAAAUACACGACUCCUGGCACCAACCUUCCAAGGUGUCAACAAGUUCAAUGAAGGCUGGAAGCCUGUAGCACAUAUUACAGCAUCUGAAUCACCACCAAUAGCAUCAGCAAGUUUAGCUGAUCCCUC
rnacentral:lncRNA from 1 species